UACGAGGGGGGCGAGCGUUGUUCGGAAUUAUUGGGCGUAAAGGGUGCGUAGGCGGUUCCGCAAGUCCUGUGUGAAAUCUUCGGGCUCAACUCGAAGUCUGCACGGGAAACUGCGGGGCUUGAGUGUGGGAGAGGUGAGUGGAAUUCCCGGUGUAGCGGUGAAAUGCGUAGAUAUCGGGGAGGAACACCUGUGGCGAAAGCGGCUCACUGGACCAUAACUGACGCUGA
rnacentral:rRNA from 1 species